ACAAGCCCAAUUUUGGGCCCAAAAUAGAAGCUCAAACCCACCACCGACGCUUGCCUCCACUUGCACUGCCUCCGUCCCAUCAUCCCAUCACCUGCAAAACAAAAACAGAGAGCAAAAGCAGCAACAGAAGCAGAAACACAACAAACAGUAACAAAAAGCAAUGGGACUUUGCAUAAUCGGCUAUAAAGAGCCAUUCAUUUUCAACGUAAAGGG
rnacentral:lncRNA from 1 species